rnacentral:rRNA from 1 species
GGAUGAAUUUUGGACAAUGGGGGCAACCCUGAUCCAGCCAUUCCGCGUGAGUGAAGAAGGCCUUCGGGUUGUAAAGCUCCUUUGUCCGGAGCGAAACGGUACGGGUGAAUAUCCCGUGCUACUGACGGUACCGGAAGAAUAAGCACCGGCUAACUACGUGCCAGCAGCCGCGGUAAUACGUAGGGUGCGAGCGUUAAUCGGAAUUACUGGGCGUAAAGCGUGCGCAGGCGGUUUUGUAAGCCAGAUGUGA